CCUCCCACGAGAGCUUUCAGCUGAGCUACCAGCCUCGCGAGGCAGGUAUAGCUAAGCACAUAAUGGAAAGUAAAUGUGAACAACAGUUUUACCGUGAUUUAUAUAAUCGUUGGUUCAGAAAAGAAUUUCUGUUAAGAAAUAUGUUAGCUGGGUAUAAUACAAGUUAUAUAUGACGAUGAAUACGCGGAAGCUAGGCACUAAGGAGGUUAGCAAGAGAAAUAAAACCAGACGAAACGAAAACAAUUGUGUAGUAAACAAGUAGAAACCCAGCUGUAUCCAAACCCACUCGUUUCACUCAUUUGCAUAUAUCAUGACGUGAUGAGUGCUGACGAUUGUCAUCACUAACAAGUCAAAUACGCGUGGCUAGCUCAACGAAACGAUGAUGUAAAAUUCUCAAAAAGAGUAAAAGAUUAAUUUACCAAAUUGGGUUAUCUGUUAAAGCAUUAUAUAUACAUAAAUAUGAUAGGUAUAUUUUGAAGUCCAAAUAUUAUGAACAAUUUCUCCAUGCGCGAUGAGUUACAGUAGAGGAUACGGGUUAAGCAAAAUAUGUUAUAUUCAAAGUAUCUUCAUAACAAUGGUUAUGAAUUUCCAAAGAAUAAAACCCUACAAACCAAUUGGUUAUUGUAAUUUAUUUUGCUUAACGCAAGACCCACCCGUAGUACGAGCUACAUAACUUUAUAAGCUGCAUGUAAAGACACCAAGCGUAACAAUGGCCAACAUAGACCAGUGGGCGAUAGUGCUAAAUAUAACGUCUUAUAAAUGCAGACUCCACGAAAACCAUGAAUCAUGUUAUCAUAGAGUACAAGCGACAAUAAUGAGUUUUAAAGCUAUGUAAA